AUAUUGUAAUGUGGAAUAUAAACUAGGGUUCAAUAUAGUCCUAAAAUCCGAUUCGACUGCUAUUAGGCUACCUAGCCUAGGGAUCGAGAUCUCUCCUCGAUCUGCCCGUCAGCUGAUGAUAAAUAAACAAGAGAAAGGAUCCGGCUCCUGAGUACUUGAAAUCUGAAACAGCGCUGUGGUGAGGGACAUCAACAGGUGUCCGAUUCCCGAUGGUUAUGAUGCUUGUCGGGUCGGUCCGAGGAUAGACACGGUGUUGAUGAGUUUAGGAUACUCUGGUCCUCUCACCAUCACUUCCAUCGUCGACCUGGAAGACACUCCUGAAUUGAAGUCCUGCGAGCGCUCUCUUCCACUGGGAUACUUCUUUUAUUAGAGACAUCCCUUGCGGUGAGAUCUUCUUCCUUCUUUUUAUUUCUCUUUCUUCUUCAAUAAUAAGCCUAUAUAGGCUACCAAUCAAAAUUAAUUAGUGGAUGGUUUUAUGUUGAUAUUCAUUCAUCUGCAUGCGUUAAAAAAUCUUCUUAUGUA